rnacentral:rRNA from 1 species
AUUGAACGCUGGCGGCAGGCCUAACACAUGCAAGUCGAGCGGCAGCGGAAAGUAGCUUGCUACUUUGCCGGCGAGCGGCGGACGGGUGAGUAAUGUCUGGGAAACUGCCUGAUGGAGGGGGAUAACUACUGGAAACGGUAGCUAAUACCGCAUAACGUCGCAAGACCAAAGAGGGGGACCUUCGGGCCUCUUGCCAUCAGAUGUUCCCAGAUGGGAUUAGCUAGUAGGUGGGGUAACGGCUCACCUAGGCGACGAUCCCUAGCUGGUCUGAGAGGAUGACCAGCCACACCGGAACUGAGACACGGUCCAGACUCCUACGGGAGGCAGCAGUGGGGAAUAUUGCACAAUGGGCGCAAGCCUGAUGCAGCCAUGCCGCGUGUAUGAAGAAGGCCUUCGGGUUGUAAAGUACUUUCAGCGGGGAGGAAGGUGUUGAGGUUAAUAACCUCAGCAAUUGACGUUACCCGCAGAAGAAGCACCGGCUAACUCCGUG